AGAAUCAACGCUGGCGGCGUGCCUAACACAUGCAAGUCGAACGAGAAAGUGGAGCAAUCCAUGAGUAAAGUGGCGCACGGGUGAGUAACACGUGACUAACCUACCUUUUAGUGGGGGGAUAACCUAGGGAAACCUGGGCUAAUACCGCAUAAUACCUACGGGUCAAAGCAGCAAUGCGCUGAAAGAGGGGGUCGCGGCCGAUUAGCUAGUUGGCGGGGUAAUGGCCCACCAAGGCAGUGAUCGGUAUCCGGCCUGAGAGGGCGCACGGACACACUGGAACUGAAACACGGUCCAGACUCCUACGGGAGGCAGCAGUGGGAAUUUGCGCAAUGGGGGAAACCCUGACGCAGCAACGCCGCGUGGAGGAUGAAGUCCCUUGGGACGUAAACUCCUUUCGAUCGGGACGAUAAUGACGGUACCGGAAGAAGAAGCCCGGCUAACUUCGCGCCAGCAGCCGC
rnacentral:rRNA from 1 species